rfam:Bacterium SM23_57 WORSMTZ_1293, whole genome shotgun sequence.
GGAGAGGUGCCGGAGCUGGCUUAACGGGGCGGCCUGCUAAGCCGUUGUAGGGAUUAUCUCUACCGAGGGUUCGAAUCCCUCCCUCUCCG